GGUUCUUUAGCUCAGUUGGUAGCUUACCGAUAGGUCGCUGGUUCGAGUCCAGCAAGAACCA
rnacentral:tRNA from 1 species